GAUGAACGCUGGCGGCGUGCCUAAUACAUGCAAGUCGAACGAGGUGCUUUUGUAGCAAUACGAGAGUAUCCUAGUGGCGAACGGGUGAGUAACGCGUUGGUGACCUACCCCAAAGUGUGGGAUAACAGUCCGAAAGGAUUGCUAAUACCGCAUGUGGUCUUCGGAUUUAGAAACUGAUGACUAAAGGAGCAAUUCGCUUUGGGAGGGACCUGCGUCCCAUCAGCUAGUUGGUGAGGUAAUGGCUCACCAAGGCUACGACGGGUAGGGGACCUGAGAGGGUGACCCCCCACAAUGGAACUGAAACACGGUCCAUACACCUACGGGUGGCAGCAGUAGGGAAUAUUGCACAAUGGGCGAAAGCCUGAUGCAGCAACGCCGCGUGUGCGAUGAAGGCCUUGGGUCGUAAAGCACUUUCUGGGAGAUGAGCAAGGACAGUAUCUACAGGAAUAAGUCUCGGCUAACUACGUGCCAGCAGCCGCGGUAAUCUGAGUCGGAG
rnacentral:rRNA from 1 species